rnacentral:rRNA from 1 species
GACGAACGCUGGCGGCGUGCCUAAUACAUGCAAGUCGAACGCAGUGGGGAUGGGUGAGUAACACGUGGGUAACCUCCCAUCAGAGGGGAUAACACUUGGAUACAGGUGCUAAACCGAUACUGAUUGAUGGACCCGGGGUGCAUUAGCCAGUUGGUGAGGUAACGGCUCACCAAGGCUACGAUGCUUAGCCGCCCUGAGAGGGUGAUCGGCCACACUGGAACUGAGACACGGCCCAGACUCCUACGGGAGGCAGCAGUAGGGAAUCUUCGGCAAUGGACGAAAGUCUGACCGAGCAACGCCGCGUGAAUGAAGAAGGUUUUCGGGUCGUAAAGCUCUGUUGUUAGAGAAGCGGUAUCUAACCAGAAAGCCACGGCUAACUACGUGCCAGCAGCCGCGGUAAUAC